AUUGAACGCUGGCGGCAGGCCUAACACAUGCAAGUCGAACGCGAAAGUCCUUCGGGAUGAGUAGAGUGGCGGACGGGUGAGUAACGCGUAGGAAUCUGUCCGGUAGUGGGGGAUAACGUUCCGAAAGGAACGCUAAUACCGCAUACGCCCCACGGGGGAAAGGGGGGGAUCCUUCGGGACCUCCCGCUAUCGGAGGAGCCUGCGUCGGAUUAGCUAGUUGGUAGGGUAAAGGCCUACCAAGGCGACGAUCCGUAGCUGGUCUGAGAGGAUGAUCAGCCACACCGGAACUGAGACACGGUCCGGACUCCUACGGGAGGCAGCAGUGGGGAAUAUUGCGCAAUGGGCGAAAGCCUGACGCAGCCAUGCCGCGUGUGUGAAGAAGGCCUUCGGGUUGUAAAGCACUUUCAGUGGGGAGGAAAGGGGGAUGGCGAAUACCCAUCACCGGUGACGCUACCCACAGAAGAAGCACCGGCUAAUUCCGUGCCAGCAGCCGCAGUAAUAC
rnacentral:rRNA from 1 species